rnacentral:rRNA from 1 species
CCUACGGGAGGCAGCAGUGAGGAAUAUUGGUCAAUGGACGCAAGUCUGAACCAGCCAUGCCGCGUGCAGGAAGACGGCUCUAUGAGUUGUAAACUGCUUUUGUACGAGGGUAAACGCAGAUACGCGUAUCUGUCUGAAAGUAUCGUACGAAUAAGGAUCGGCUAACUCCGUGCCAGCAGCCGCGGUAAUACGGAGGGUUCAAGCGUUAUCCGGAUUUAUUGGGUUUAAAGGGUGCGUAGGUGGUCGGAUAAGUUAGAGGUGAAAUCCCGAGGCUCAACUUCGGAAUUGCCUCUGAUACUGUUCGGCUGGAGAGUAGUUGCGGUAGGCGGAAUUUAUGGUGUAGCGGUGAAAUGCUUAGAGAUCAGACAGAACACCGAUGGCGAAGGCAGCUUACCAGGCUACUACUGACGUUGAGGCACGAAAGCGUGGGGAGCAAACAGGAUUAGAUACCCGGGUAGUC